AGCUAAUGAGCUUGAAUAAGUAUAUGUUUUGAAAACAUACUAUAGAGGUUUUUCCCUUUAUUAGCUU
rnacentral:tRNA from 1 species